GGCGACACGCUGCCGGUUGGUGUUGGCAAAGG
rnacentral:scRNA from 1 species